CUUCUCUCUGCACACCUCCAGCUCAUGCAGGUUGGCAGUUUGCUCUCCCCACAAAAAACUCUUUUCUGCCUGAACCACGUAGUAGUCUCCUUCUCAU